GGGGUUGUGGUGUAGCUUGGUUAGCAUCGUAGGUUUGGGACCUGCAGACCCAGGUUCAAAUCCUGGCAACCCCA
rnacentral:tRNA from 1 species